rnacentral:lncRNA from 1 species
GGGUUGGGCUUAGUCAAUUCCUGAUUUGAUUAGGAUUUUAUUGAGCCUAAUUAAGCCUAAUUUAGUUGGGUUUAAAUUAGUCUAAUUCAACCUAAAUUAUUUGGUUCAAUUAGGUUGGUUUAAAUAAUUAAACCACCUUGACCCAAUCUCCAUGCGCCACCUCACUUCCAUUGCAUCCAUUUGAAUUCAUGAGAAGGAACUUCUCAUGAAUUAUUUCUUCAUGCUAAGCCCUCUCCACACCCCACUUUAAUGUGCCAUAUGAACUUCUCAUGAAUUAUUUCCUCACGCCAAGCCCUCUCCACGCCCCACUUUAAUGUGCCAUAUGAAUGGAUAAGGAUGAUUGGUUGGCCAUUCAAAUUCAAAAUAAAGUUUGAAUUUGAAUGGA